rnacentral:other from 1 species
UUUCCCCUGCGGUGUUCGUUGGAGCCUUAAACUCCUUGAACCAAUGUCUACGUGACAUGGUUGUCGGCCCACCAAGCCGCUGUUGUGAGCGCCCCUUAGCCGGGUGCACCUGAAGCGGCCGGGUAGAUGACCCCCUGAACCCAGGUUCAGGAAUACGGCUCGACGGCACAUGUGGGGGAACC